UAUUAACUUUCUACAAGCUUUAUUUAAUGAAUCAUUUUAUUUAACUUAAGCUCUUGUAUUAUUAAAUGUGAACGAAGGUCCUCAUUUGAAUAGGUCAAACAUGGAUCUAGUAUGGACUGUACUUGCAAU